AAAAACCAUAUGACAAGAAGAGUAGUUUAGAAGAAUCUUUUUUAGAGAGCUCCGGUUGGUGAAAAGGAGCAAAGAGGCGACUAGAUGAAGAUGGCCUUGGAUGGGAUGGGUCGAUAUGAGAUCCGUACGGGAAUUCCCGUUAUAGAAUUAGAGUAUGUUUGUACUUGAUGAGUGUAUGUUUGGGUGACCAAGCAUAAAAUAAGGUGGUAACGCGAUUUAAACGUCCUUAUA
rnacentral:ncRNA from 1 species